rnacentral:lncRNA from 1 species
UUGAAAUAACAUCAGAAUGUUUAACAAAUAUAUUUUUAUACACAAAGAGCUUAUUUAGGUUUGCAAAAAUUAUCAGAACGUGGUAAAGAUUCACUUGGCUUAUAGAAUUUUUCUUUAAAGUCUGAAUACUUUUGGUUCCGCCAUGUAGAAUUCCCAUUACCACUGGCCCUGCUGUCUGAAUUGCUGCAGCACUUGCACCCACACCCAGGUGUAAUGCCCAGCCCACCAACAGCCCACAGCUGGACAGAAUUAGGGUAUUUCUUGAUGGGAGUGCUCCAGACAUUGCUUUCUCCAGUCAUUGCCUUCCUCAUUGAUUAGCGCCUUGCAGUCCUUACCUAUGCUUUCUCUGAAGGUUUUUUUUAAUCUUUGUAUUGUCUUCAAGACCUCUGGCACCACACAUGCAUUGCAGAUACAGCACUGAGACUCCAGCCUCCAGGUGGUACCACAGGACAAAGUAUAAAGGAACCUAUGAGUCAGGACGUAUAUCCCACUAUGAAAUAUUCUCCACAGAAAGGCUCUGGGACCGUGCGCUCUGCCCUGCCUGGAAAUGCCUGAAACCAGGAUAA